rnacentral:lncRNA from 1 species
ACACGCGGCAUGAUCUGAGGUCGGACGUUUCCGAUCUCGUAUUAGCGGAUCAUUGAUCUGGGGAGGUGGAGGCUACAUCGGUGCUCCACGUGUCCCAGAGCCUUAUUAAAUGAGGGGAGCAGGGGUGACGUCCGCUCGUUCUUCAAGGUGAUCUGAUCCUGCGGACCCAUGAUGAGGCCCCGAGAUCCGAUGGGACAGCAUUUCGAUUUCGUACCCGAUUUAUUGAUCCGGAGUGAAUGUGGUGCCUCGGCUUCCGAGGUCGACACGUGGCGCAAUCCGGUCGGGGGAUGGGAACCGACCCUGUCGAUCUGGGCCGUCAGGGGGGUCUAUAUAAACCCCACGAGUCUGCCCUAAGAGUUCUAUUUGGUUGCCUUGUUUUUUGCCGUCUCCUUCCUUGCUCCCCCCCUC